rnacentral:tRNA from 1 species
GCGUCCAUAGCUCAACGGAUAGAGCAUCGGUUUGCGGUGCCGAAGGUUGCAGGUUCGAGUCCUGCUGGGCGCGCCA